UAUAGGAGAAAUGAUCGAGGAAAUGCAAAAGAAAAAUGAGCAGAUGAAGGGGGAGAUAUACAAGAUUUAUGAGAUAAAAUUACAGUCUCUCAGGAAGAAAUACAAGGAAGAUAUCCAGGAACUUCAAUUUGAAGUAAAAUAUAUGGAGAGGAAAAUAGAAGGAAACAAAUGUACCAUACUCUAAAAAUGCUAGGAACAUCACUUCCUAACCAGCUCCCUCCCUCCACAGGAAACUACUUGAUUGAGCAACUUCUGAAUGUCACACAGUUGCCACUAAACUAAAAUUAGAAUCAUGAUGUUUGUAAUUUUGUUGAACCAAAAAAACUGCAAAGACGAAAUAAACUGCAAAUACAAUGUU